ACCUUAGAGGGAGGAGACUUGGAAAGGAGCCGAGCAUGGGUGAGCACUCAAAGAUUCAGGCUGGCUGUGUGAUCGAUGCUAGGACCAUGCAGGAUGUGGGCAGACAAGAGGAGGAGGCUGCCUCUCAUGUUCCUCCCCCUCGGUCCCCACGCUUAGGGAGAUGUGGGGCUGGCGAUGGGAAAGCUGUAUGGCAACGACUUCAGCCAGACCACCAUCUCACGAUUUGAGGCCCUCAACCUGAGCUUCAAGAACAUGUGCAAGCUCAAGCCCCUGCUGGAGAAGUGGCUGAAUGAUGCAGAGUCCUCUCCGUCAGACCCCUCAGUGAGCACGCCCAGCUCCUACCCCAGCCUCAGUGAAGUAUUUGGUAGGAAGAGAAAGAAACGGACCAGCAUCGAGACCAACAUCCGCCUGACUCUGGAGAAGAGGUUUCAAGAUAACCCAAAACCCAGCUCGGAGGAGAUCUCCAUGAUUGCAGAGCAGUUGUCCAUGGAGAAGGAGGUGGUGAGGGUCUGGUUCUGCAACCGACGCCAAAAGGAGAAGCGAAUCAACUGCCCUGUGGCCACACCCAUCAAACCACCUGUCUACAACUCCCGGCUGGUAUCUCCCUCAGGGUCUCUGGGCCCCCUCUCUGUCCCUCCUGUCCACAGUACCAUGCCUGGAACAGUAACGUCAUCCUGUUCCCCUGGGAACAACAGCAGGCCUUCAUCUCCUGGCUCAGGACUCCAUGCCAGCAGCCCCACUGCAUCUCAAAAUAACUCCAAAGCAGCAGUGAACUCCACCUCCAGUUUUAACUCUUCAGGAUCUUGGUACCGAUGGAAUCAUCCCACCUACCUCCACUGAGACCAAAAAGUUUCUCCUACUCCACCUGGCCCUGUAUUCCCCCUGGAAGGAAGGGAAUCAUGCCUUCUAUAUACAGACAGAUUGCCUUCAGAAGAGUGGAAGAAAAUCUCCACUAUCAAUGAACCCAGACUCUUGUCUUCUUCAAGAGCAAGGGCCUCUGGAGAUCCAAACUGUGAUUGAACCAAGUGCAGACUCCUAAUGCUCUUGAAAUACACAGCCCCUCCUAGAAGCUUACCAUUUUCACCUUCCUUGCCUAUGCCCUUGCCUUCUAGUUCCAAAUAUUUUAGCCAGCUUCACUGUGGCAAUAGUCUUUCAGAGAAAAGACUUCUUGCUGUUAUUCUCCAACUCAUCCGUGGGCUUCUGGGGACAGCCAUUUGGCUGGGGUGCCAAACACCAGAAGGGGAGAUAAUAGUUUUGACUCUGAGCUUGGCCACAACCCCUGAACUGAUCCCAAAAUCUGUGAAAAGAUUUGAAUCUGAUAUCUCCACCAAAGCCUUGAUGUUUUCUCUGUACAGCUAAGUUUUCUGAUGGACUCUUCAUCUCACCCCAUUUUUUUAACCUCGCCCCCUUUUCUACAAUCAAAUCCAUUCAUUAUUGCGCCCUCCAGGUCCCCUCCUUUUUGCAGAAGGUGUAAAAGAGCUGCCCUUGGUGGGUGCCCUGGGCAUGUUGCAACGCCCGCUGGUGCCCUUCUGUCUGUCCACAUCUGCCUAGGGCUCAGGAGUGCCUGUUCUUUCCCUUCCUCCCUGUGUUUCUCUUUAUCCUGUCCUCUCUCCUUUCUCCUGGCAGCAGAAAAGGAAGAACACAAGAGCAAACACACAACAAUGAUGGUGGCAAAGUACCUGUAUAUAUAGCCCUUUCCCAUUUUUUGCAUUAUGUUCUUAACUCCUUAAUGUGGAAUCUUCCAGCAAAAUGUUUAACUCAGGUGUGAUUUUUGAAAA
rnacentral:sRNA from 1 species